GUUAGAGCCCCCUAGCAGUGGUACCCAUCACCGAGGGUAUCUUCACUCCACCUGAAGAAUGUGAAAGGAAAUUGGGGACAAGCUAGAGUUGCUCCAGAUUCCCGAAUUUCCUACCUGGGCUCUGAGUGCCCUUCACUAGCACCUACUGGCCUUCAGCACGAAGGAGGCUCGCAUCACUGCAGGGAAAGGUGAGUGGCUGUAGCCAGGGAAGGAGGGCAUGUAGAGUCUUAAAAUCGAACAAAUAAAACAAAAAACGAACCGGCAGAAUGAAACAUCGUCGGAAGAUUCCAGGACCACGUUGGUAAGGUGACUGUGUUUCUACCUGAAUCCCCUGAAAGUGGACCCCUUCCCUCUGUAGGCCAGAAUCUAAAGUCACCAAGUCAUCCCUCUCAUUCCCAAGAGUGCUGUGGCUUUAGUAAUACACCUGCUGGCUUGUGCUUUGUAAGGCAACCCCGCUGGGUUGGGACCAUCCUCCAUCUCCCCAGGACACUGUCCCCAAGACAGGCAGAGCACACUUGGGUGCCAGAAUGAUUCUGGCCUCCAAAGUGGUUUCUUGGACACCUUUGGCCUGAGCCUGGCUCUCGAGCGGUGGCCAGCAACCUCGACUGGUAAAGGGGCCGCUUGCCUAGGGGUCAGGCUAGCCCACAGUGGGACUCAGGACCUGGUCCUGCGCGCUCGCUCUCGGAAACCGCGUGGUGAGAGCUUAGGCAGAGACUGACUCCCUUGGCGGCCCCGCACGCACCUCCUGUCCCAGGCCUACCCGGGCCUAUGGAAGCUUCCGCGCGAAGCUGGCAGGGAAGGCCCUCAGAGCACGCGUAAACCCGACGCCCGGCGCCGAGAGGAGACCCGAAGGACCAGCCGCGUCCCCUGGGCCUGCGCCAAGGCUUCGGCGGGGAGCGCUGCGGGGCCGGGAGGCCAUUUUGAGAGCGAACGCACGGCGGCAAGAUGGCUGCGUGGGCACGAGGUAGGUCGCAGCGCCGCAGGGUCGGCCGAGCUCCUCCUCGCGCCAGCAGGGCCGCUCAACCCCAUGGAAGCAGCGCGCGCGGAGAGCGCACCCGGCCUAGGGGUCUGGGAAGUCGCCUGCGGCGGGCCGUCGCCAAGUAUUCCAGGACACUGUCCCCGAGGCCACAAUGCCUUUCCCGGCUGUUGAAAAGAAAGCAGCAGAAGAAAGUAGGCCGCUGCUGGCUCCUGAGUCCCUGGCAGCCUUCUCUCCUCAGACAUGGUGGGAUGUACUCUGAUCUAGAGCAGGCAUCUGGCCAGAGACCCACAGGGAGCUCUGUGAUUGGCCUCAGAUGACCUAGAGGACAAAGAGAGGUCAGUGACUCCUGUUGUCUGCGAGUGUGAUGCUGGAGGUGGAGGUGGGACAAAGCCAUCAUGUCUUUGAAGAAAGCUUCUGGCCUCAAGCCAGACUCAGGAUUUUGGAGACUCGAGCCUCUUCUGGACAUGUGCACCUUGACAGUAGUGGCUUCUAAUUGUCCUGUGAAGGGAAAUGAUGGAACAGGCUCUGGUCGGCUUUUCUGGGAACAGACAGAGAAGUGGUAACUCCUGCCAAAGUCACGGGAUGCAUACAAAGCCCAGAACCCGAACAGGAAAAUGCAGCAGGAAAGGACACCGCAGCAGCCACCAUCCUGGGGUGGCUGUGCACGGGGCAGUCCUGCCCCUGGAACUUGGCCAGAGGCCAGGGCAAGUGCCCACCUCCCUUCUAGGGGCCUUUGUCACUGGCCUGCUUGCCCAGGUCUCCUUCAUCUCUGCUGCUGCCACACCUUUCAGGCCUGUUCUGGGUCUGAUGUGAUGCAGAACACUCUGCUCCGUCACUUGGGAAAUGGAAACUUCAUCACCAGCGUUUCCACCCCAAAGAACUAGACAGCACACUGGGAAGUUGCCAAAGGAAGGGACUUCAGCCUCCCAGGAGUUAACAACAUUUCUCCCCAGCUGUCCUCCCCUUGGUGCUCCUUUUCCUCCCUCCUCCUGCUCACAGCAGGCAGGGCCUGGAACCAGGAGCCAUGCUGCUGUGCUGUUGCCAGGGGAGCUGGGAGGCAGAUCAGAGCUAUGCAGGGGAAAGGCUCAGCCUGUCAAAGUGUCUGAGAUGAACCACCGCCAUCCCCGUGCAGCUGGGCUCCAUGUGUCUCAAGGCUCUUGUUCUGUGCCUGAGAACAGGGAAACCCAGCGAGGUUCAAGGGCACACUCGCUAUUCAUCAGUCAGGGGUUCUUGACGGUCCUGCCUCUCCCAGAGAUGGGUUCCCCCCUUCCUCUUUCUCUCCCUCCUGUGACACAAUCCUGGGUGCCUAUGGUGAGGACUGCACACCCCCUCCCUACUGCUCCCCCCAAACCCUGAAUCAACUCUUAUUAAGGAGGCCAGGCAGGACAGAGACAAUGGCUUCAAGAAAUCAUUCAGGCAGGACCCCAGCCACAUUUGCCUGCCCUUCACUCCCAGUGCCCCUGUAGAUCCCACUCUGCAGUGAUUCAGGGCACCCUUGGGCCCCCAGCUUGCAUAUGCUUAGACAGGAGCAGGCCACUAGGUGCUGCCCUACACAACAGGCCAGUGCACUAUUCUCAGUGUUAUUCUUAGUGGCCCCUAGGUCCCUCUGUCCCACUGGCUGCAUAUUUUUGUGCAGUUGGCCGGAAAGUAGAAACUGUACAAUAUUUUCUGAAAUGUGGUAAUAUCAAAAUGUAAAAGACAUAUAUACUUGAUUACUAAUCUCAUCCAGAUACCCUGGAAACGUUUGCUAAGAAGCAUGGACAAAGAGCUGUGGUUGAAGGAAUGAGUCAUUCCUUUCUAUGGAGUACCGCAGAGGCAGCUCGUGCAGGCUGAUAGGGAAGGCUCCAAUAUACUCAAGUGCAGAAUAAAGUACAAAAGGUCAAGUAAAGGACAAACGUGUUCCUGUUUGUAUAUACCUAAAGUCAGUCAGGGACUCGGGAGUGAACGCCAUGGUAAAAUGCACCCAGCAUGCAUACAAGAGGCCGAGAGCCAAGUAAAACUGUGUCAGCCACAAGUACGUCUGUAUGGAUGGCCCUGAAGCAGGCAUUGCACAGCAGCCUCUGGAAGCAGGAGGCAUUUCUUCCUUGUUUUUGUGUUUGUUUUCUCUCUGUGUUUGUGAAAAGGGAAAGGGUAGUUGUCACUUAAUAGGUAUAACUUCUCUCAGCCAAUGAAGGGUGUGCACUCUGAGACAAGGUGGUGAUGUGGCAGAGAAGUGUCUUGACAGUACUGGUGGCUUCUGGCCACUGGCGUUUCUCCAACCACAUGUCAUCAUUAUGGCUGCCACUGUUAAUCAAAAGCCCACUUACUUCCAGGGUUGGUUGUCUGGCUCUUGCUUGGGUGAGUGUCACGUUAUUUCAGUCUAACCUACACAGGAGACUGACUGGGGAAAUCAGUAGGUUUCUCCAAGCGGCUUGGCAAGUGAGGCAGAGUCAGUAUCCUAGAGUGGGUAAGGCAAGUGUGGGCUCUGGUUUCCCUUUGGGAGGACCUGUUUGGAUGAGUGGGGCUUGUGGGCUGUGUUGAUUAUGAGUGGGCACUCCUGCUUUAGCCCAAUGGAGGUGUCCUGCUGGGGACAGGAUGGCCUCAGGAGUAGUGGAUUGGCUCUGAAAGGCUCUAUCUGCAUACACACAGCAGAGAGAUACACUGGACUUUACUGCUCCCAGUGCGAAUCAAAAGCCUGGCUUUGCUCCCACAGGAGUAAAUCGCUACGGGGCAUCCGGAAAGGGCAGCAUGGAGCUGGCAUUGAGUCUUGGAACCAACAUAAGUCCAGGCACAGCAUCCUGUGGAGCUCUGAGUUGGGUCCUGAGGCCUGGGAGCAGGCAAGGAAAGAUCAACAGUAGAGUUGACCAGAGGAAGCUGGGAGAUCCAUGGAGGCCCCUGGACUUGAUGGCAGCUUUGGAAGUCAGGAGGAAAGCAACUAGGGGUGGGGCUGUUGCCAGGUCUCCUGCUUUGGUGCAGUGAGUCUUAGUUUUAUAUGAUGGGAACCACUGGUAAGAUCAUUUUACAAAUGACACCGAAGUUCGGAAAUGUUGCUACAUGUCUCAAGUCACAGCUAAAAAGUUCCAGAACUGAGAUUUAACACCUAUCUCAUUGGUUGCAGUCUGGAUUCCUAGCCCCAAAUGUAUCCUGUUUGGUUGGGCCACUUAAACGAGGUCUCCUAACCCCAACCCCUCCUGCCGGUCCCAUACAUAGAGACAUUAAAUUCUGCCUGCAAGGUUCCCUCAAUACCUUGCCUGGGACCCUCCUUAAUUCCACCGAAUUCCAUCUCUGGGCUACACUAAGCUUUGCAGCCUGGGCCUUGAGAGCUGGAGAAGAAAUUCAAAGCCAUGUACAGACUCCGGGCCUUCAGUUAGCAUUUUUACUUAGCACUACGCUGUUUGCUUCUGGAAGUCUGGCCAUCUGCAUUCUGCAGAUGCUGUCUCUUCCUUCAGGUCCUUGACCUGCAAACCUAUGGGAAGGUCAAGGGUGCUCUAGGGCCUAGCUCCAUGCUUCACAGAGGUCGCCCUGCUGAGGGCUGCAGCAACCCAAGGCUGAGGAUCAGGCCUGGAAGAGCAAAAAGGGACAGCCAGACUUAGAAAUCGUUGGAACUCUUCCUCUGGCUUAUUUCAGGACAACGCUGGGGGAUGAUUAAGACAAAUUCGAGAGAAAGGACUCUUCUGACCCUGGGAAACCUCUGCCUCUUUUACCCCAGCUCACAACUAAUAAAAGUUCGGGAAAAAAAAA
rnacentral:sRNA from 1 species